AGCGAACGCUGGCGGCAGGCUUAACACAUGCAAGUCGAACGGGCAUAGCAAUAUGUCAGUGGCAGACGGGUGAGUAACGCGUGGGAACGUACCUUUUGGUUCGGAGCAACACAGGGAAACUUGUGCUAAUACCGGAUAAGCCCUUACGGGGAAAGAUUUAUCGCCGAAAGAUCGGCCCGCGUCUGAUUAGCUAGUUGGUAGGGUAAUGGCCUACCAAGGCGACGAUCAGUAGCUGGUCUGAGAGGAUGAUCAGCCACAUUGGGACUGAGACACGGCCCAAACUCCUACGGGAGGCAGCAGUGGGGAAUAUUGGACAAUGGGCGAAAGCCUGAUCCAGCCAUGCCGCGUGAGUGAUGAAGGCCCUAGGGUUGUAAAGCUCUUUUGUGCGGGAAGAUAAUGACGGUACCGCAAGAAUAAGCCCCGGCUAACUUCGUG
rnacentral:rRNA from 1 species